rnacentral:rRNA from 1 species
GACAGAGGGGGCGAGCGAUGACCGGAAGCACUGGGCGUAAAGCGCGCACAGGCGGUAACCUUAGUGUCGUGUGAAAGCCCCCGGCUCAACCGGGGGAGGCCAUGGCAAACUGGGUCGCUCGAGCUGCGGAGAGGCCCCUCGAAUUGCCGGUGUAGCGGUGAAAUGCGUAGAGAUCGGCAGGAAGACCAAGGGGGAAGCCAGGGGGCUGGCCGCAGGCUGACGCUGAGGCGCGACAGCGUGGGGAGCAAACCGG